rnacentral:rRNA from 1 species
UACAGAGGUCUCGAGCGUUAGGCGGAAUCACUGGGCUUAAAGCGUGUGUAGGCGGCUCGGUAAGUACCUUGUGAAAUCCCACAGCUUAACUGUGGAACUGCUCGGUAUACUGCCAGGCUUGAGCCAGCUAGGGGCUACCGGAACAAAUGGUGGAGCGGUGAAAUGCGUAGAUAUCAUGUGGAACGCCAAUGGUGAAAACAGGUAGCUGGGGCUGUGCUGACGCUGAGACACGAAAGCCAGGGGAGCAAACGGG